CAAUCUUUGACGCAAAUUGCGCUCUUGGGUAGCCCUAGGAGCACGCCUCUCUCAGUAUCGGUUCAACAAUCUCUCAGCAGCGUGAUUGCAAAAUUGCGUGUUGGCUGGAUAAUGAGAGUCUGUUUUGUUUUCAUUUACGAACAGUCUCUUUAAGUACAUGGAGUAAAUAAUUUGCUAACGAUCAGCUCUGCUUUUACGAGCAGAUAGUCUAUUUUUGACUGUUGUUCGAUAGUGAUGUGAAUACUGGCCUUUACUGGUCUCAUUUUACAUCUUAUCUAUUCGUGACAAUACCUAAAGUUGAGAAUGGGUGAACGUUCGAUCUAGUAUUAUUUGCGUGAGAAAACCAUAUGGUUUUUCUUCGGAAAAGCCUGAAUUUUGAUCUGAGAUGAAGCGAGACAACCCCCUGAAUUUAAGCAUAUUAAUAAGGGGAGGAAAAGAAACUAACAAGGAUUCCCCUAGUAACGGCGAGUGAAGCGGGAAGAGCUCAAUUUGAAAAUCGAUUUCCUAAACGGGACAUCGAGUUGUAGCCUAUAGACGUACUAUCAGCUGAAACCUGGGUAUAAGUUCUUUGGAAUGAGGCGCUAUAAAGGGUGAGAGCCCCGUAUAUGGCCCAAAGCUUUCAGCGUACGAUGUGCGUUCAUCGAGUCGAGUUGUUUGGGAUUGCAGCUCUAAAUGGGUGGUAGUUUCAUCUAAGCUAAAUAAUGGC
rnacentral:rRNA from 1 species